UGCGAGGUCGAAAUCGGCGGCGGCGUCCGCCUCCAUUGAGAAGAGGAUGGCAGGUGGCGCGCCGUGCGGGGUGAAGCUUCUGCAUACCCUGAACGUGGGUGGUCGCUGUGCUGUGCCGGCGGGGUGGCGUUGCAGUCACGGGUCUUGACAAGGAGCGGAGUGGGGGCGGCGGUGGUGACGGAUUUGAGGCGACGACGUCCUUCCACGCCAGUGCCGAAGAUCUCCAGGCAAAUGUGAUGGGGCACCUGCGCGACAUGGCGUACCAUCAGGUCACGGCAUGCUCCACUCCUCCCAUUGUUGACAGAUAUUGGGUGUUCCUCAAUCCUCAUCUAGGAGAGCGAUCCUAUCUUCUUCAGUGGGGUAUCCCCCAUCACGUGAUUCACGCCGAGUCUUCCGCAUCAGCAACUGUCCACAUCUUUUUGCGCAAGCAACAGUGGGAAGUAAGUUGAUCAGGCCUGUUGUAGUGGAGUUGGGCAACUGCUAUCUUUGCCUUGCUGCCAUCUUGCUCCACAAAUAAAUUUUUCAUGCUGCUCAUGUGUUCUGGCAAGUUCAGUUGGCCGUUUGAAGCUGGUGGCAAGGAAAUGUGGCUGUACGUACAACGUAGUUCGCCAAAUCCCUCCCUCAGCGUCAUCAGCUGCAGAAAACAGUAUAUCUAGACAGUCGUUUAUCUUUUGCUUUUAAGCAUUAUCUCCUGUUAAACAUGGUCAUCAAUUACUUAGCCUGUAAGGAAUACAGAUAUUUUCUCACUUAUUUUUAUCAAAGAAGUCAUAUAGUUGCAUGGUUUGAUUAACUUCACAAGAGACUAUUGUUUCAACAACCAGUAAGUGACACAAGAUAUUUUCUCUCUUUUCGACUGGAAUAAAGUCAUGGAUGGUUAUUUUGUGUUUGCUUCAAAUCCCUGAAUUUUUUAUUCUUUUGCGACCAUGAACUAUUGAUUUGCAUGAGUAGAAAUUUUGCCAGGUGUACUGUAAGUGUAUUCUUUGUUUGUGGACAAUACUGCUAUUUGAUUUUUUGUUAAAGGAUAGGUAUUCCAACUCCCCUUCUUAUUCUGAAUUUUUAGAAAUGCAUUCUUUUACUCCACGGUCCACGCUCAUACUGAUAUGCUCCUCACUACCUGAUGUGCUCAUAGGCAAGAAAUGUGUAGUUAGUUGACAGGUUCAUCUGAGAACCUGCCACUCCCAUUUGUUAUAUCUUUGGCAAGCAACCAUCGUUGGAAAUAUUUUACAUCAUACGAAGUGCAAAGUGAAGUAGACAAGCAGAACUUGUGGUUUAUUUUAUGUACAUCUGCUCAAAAUCAAAGUGAAGUACAGCAGUUGCUGAUGAGUGCAGCACCUGUUGUUUUCUUCACAGAGAAAUUGAGCUGGACAGGACUUUAAAGAGAGACUGAGAUUACUCCUUUAACAUAUGAGUGGAAUUGCUCUUGAAUUCUGACCAAUAUUUUAGGAUGUAAUCCACUCGCAUUGUGGUUGCCUAGAUGAUAAUUCCCCAAGAGGCUUCCUACUACAAUGAGUAGAGUUUCCCCACAACCAGCGGAGGACCUGGUGGCGCCCACCGCCAUGGACCACCCUGCGUUGGUGAAGGCCAAGGCAGAGAAGGAGUAUCCGGAUAUAGAGAUGAGGGAGGAGGAGGCCAAGGGGACGGGCAACACAAGCACGAGGUGCACGACGGCGACGGAGUCCAUCCUGAUGGCUGCUGACGCCACGAGUACUGUGGGGUCUGCGGCGGGCGUACCAGACCCGUAUGAGGAGCUGCCUCCCUCCCCGCAGUGUGUCUAUGUUCAUGGGGCACUGCCAUUUCCCUCCCUGUAUGGUGCACAACCUCGUGGUUGGUAGACGAUGGCACCGGCGAUCUCAACAUCACCAGUUCUGCAUUAGGACCCAUUCACAACAAAUGAGUGACGAUGGCACCGGCGAUCGCAACAUCACCAGUUCUGGUUCGUCUUCCUCUGACUCACCACUCAAAUUUGAACUAAUUCUAGUUCUAUUCUACUAUGACAUGUUUUUCUGAAUGUCUGGUAUUUUUAUGUAGCAUUAGGACCCAGUCACAACAAGUAAGUGUUUCUAAGUUGUUGUAAUUGCAUCUGAGAUGAUCCUUGGACAUGAUUCCCCUGCAAAAA